GGUUUUUUCUGGUGGGGGGAUGGGCUCGCGGCUUAUCAGCUUGUUGGUGGGGUAAUGGCUUACCAAGGCUUUGACGGGUAACCGGCCUGAGAGGGUGACCGGUCACAUUGGGACUGAGAUACGGCCCAGACUCCUACGGGAGGCAGCAGUGGGGAAUAUUGCACAAUGGACGAAAGUCUGAUGCAGCGACGCCGCGUGAGGGAUGAAGGCCUCGGUUGUAAACCUUUUUCGUCUUUUGUACCAAGGCAGCAUUUUGGUGUUGUUGAGGGUAUGAGGUAAAGAAGCUCCGGCUAACUACGUGCCAGCAGCCGCGGUAAUACGUAGGGAGCGAGCGUUGUCCGGAUUUAUUGGGCGUAAAGGGCUUGUAGGUGGCUUGUCGCGUCUGCCGUGAAAUUCCGCAGCUUAACUGUGGUAGUGCGGUGGGUACGGGCAGGCUUGAGUGUGGUA
rnacentral:rRNA from 1 species